rnacentral:lncRNA from 1 species
UUGCUCUGUGUAACACAGAUUCUCCUCUGCAUUAUGUGGACCUCGAGUCCUAGGCAAACGUAAGGGAGCUCAGUCAGUGGGUCUGAUGUGGUGGAUGCUGGCCUGGGAAGUGCUGCACAUGUGUGGCACCAUCUCCCGUCAACACCUGUGGGAAAUCAUGCCUGCUCUCUCUACUUCUACAGGGAUCCUGAAGAGACUGAAAGGAAGAACAGACUGCUGUUGCUGAAAAAGCGGUGACCAAGGAGGAAUUUCAGGUGAAUGAGUUGCACCAGCUCCUGAGUUCACUGCUGCUCAGCCUGAGGUUGCAGACUGGUCUGAAGGCUUGCCAGGUGCCCUCUGUGCCCAUCCAGCAGUUCCCUACCGAAGCCUGGAGUGCUCAGAAUGCUGGUCUGAAGCCCCUAAUGCCCAGGCCACUGAGCAGCUCACUCACCACCAGGGCUCUACACCAGCUCCAGGGAUAGGAAGAAGCAAAGCACGGCCAGCUGUGCAGUUUUCACAUUGGUCUCUAGGUGGCACCCUUGUCCCAGGACUGCUUUUAUCGCACUUGAGGAGGGCUGACUCAGGUACAUUUUACAAGUAAGUGAAGAAGUCAUUAGAUGUCUGCUUGCUGCUCCAUUU